AAGCGCAGUAAGAGGUGGCCACGCGUCCUGGCCCUGUGCCCUUCCUUACAUUUCUCGCUCUGCCGGGCGCGCCAUGCCUGCAAACACAGGGUGUCAAUGGCCCCGGGAGGCUGGAAUGUGGGGUGUGCAGAAUCCCAUCCAGCGCAGUCUAGGGCAGGACCCAAGGGACACCCUGUGGGCAACCCCCACUCUGGGUUGGUCCCCUCCAAGUUCCUCUGCCCGCUCUCUGAUCUCACCCAGAUCGGCCCCCUCUCCCUCAGAGAGCGGCCCCUGGGCUUCAGGCACUUUUCUAGGCCCUGGCGGCACAGUCGUCCCGGGACGCUGUCUGGAAGGCAGGGACAGUAGUGUCCCCUCAGCGCCUCCUACCUGCCACCACUUCCACCUAUGCCAGGAGCCCCAGACCCGCCUCCAGACCCGCACCCGCCGAGUUCGGUGCGGAAGAGGCUGUAGGCGCCCGGGGCCCUGCCCUCGGAAGCAGGGGUCGCAGAGGGGCUCCGGCCUUGAGAUAUUAUUUUCAGUUUGGGAGGCCAAAGUAGGAGGAUCACUUGAGGCUAGAAGUUGGAGACCAGCCUGUGCAACAUAGUGAAACCCCAUCUCAAUGAAAAAGGUAUUAUUUUCAUACAGUACAAUUUGUCUGCUUAAAAUCUGAAGGUCAAAAGCAGUUGCUGCAAUUUACCAGCCAACAGGAAGGGAGAGGAUGUGUCCAUAGCAGAUGUCUUCAAGGAAAUAGCUUUGAAAUUGCACACCUAACUUUUGCUGAGAUAUCAUUGGCUCAAAAUAAGUCACAUGAGCAACCUAGCUGUAUGGCAGGCUGGGUUAUGUAGAUUCUAGUUGGUUAACUAAAUGCCCACUUAAAAGCCAGGGGAUUCUAUUGUUGUGGAAGGAGACAGUUCUGUGUUAUCUGCUAAAUUGUCAGCCUCUGCCUCUCUUCUGGAUUCUAUCCAUCAGCAUGUCAUGGGCUUCUCAUUUAAAAAAACACCUCCUUUGACUGUACAUGCUGCACACUCCUUGUUAGCACCUGCCCUUCCUCUUCCUUAAACUCUUUUCCCUUUUUCCUCACUCCCAUUCACCCCUCAACCCUAGGCAGUACAGAUCUUUCCUGACACUCUUCUGAGACUAGUGGUCUCCUUUGGUUGAAUUCAUUCUUUUCAGAGCCUCCCCUACUGGCUGUCUCUAUAGCUUCCAGCAGGUUUGUGGUGAAAAGAAAGAGAGAUCAGACUGUUACUGUGUCUAUGUAGAAAGAAGUAGACAUAAGAGACUCCAUUUUGUUCUCUAUUAAGAAAAACUCUUCUGCCUUGAGAUGCUUUUAAUCUGUAACCCUAGCCCCAACCCUGUGCUCAUAGAGACAUGUGCUGUGUUGACUCAAGGUUUAAUGGAUUUAGGGCUAUGCAGGAUGUGCAUUGUUAAACAAGUGCUUGAAGGCAAUAUGCUUGUUAAAACUCAACACCACUCUCUAAUCUCAAGUACCCAGGGACACAAUACGCUGUAGAAGGCCACAG
rnacentral:lncRNA from 10 species